AUAUAUAUAUAUAUAUAUAUAUUUGUGUAAAAUAUAUAUACUGCUCACAUGUACAGAAACCACACACAUACAACACAUUUACAGAACACAAACAUAUAUCUCAAAAGCCGGCCACCCCUCUCUCGAUCUGGUUCACGAUUCAGAGUCUAUGGCCUCUUAAAUUCUUUAAAUCAAUGUAUACGGAGGCAGCAACGCAGGAGGAAGCUCCACCGCCGCCUGUUGCCGAGGAGAAGUCACCGGAGAAGGAAGAAGAUAAGAAAGCAGAGCAAGGAGAUGAAAAGAAAGAACCGGAAGAGAAGUAAUAAGAUGAAAAGCCGACAGAGGAAGCCAAAAAAGAGGAUAAACCGAAUGAGAAUCCAAAACCAGAGGAUUUGCCCUUUCUCCAAGCCCUAACCCUAGCUUCCUCUCUCAUUCGAAGCCCGAACUCCAACCUCCCAUUCGAAGGACACUUUGGUGUCUAAUCAAACCGUAUCUACAUUUUUUGUCUAAUCAAGCGCCAUAGCCUCUGCGUUUUCCGUCGAAUUCCAUCUCCUUUCUCUCUGAUUCUUCUCUCGGGAACUUUAGGGCUGAUCUUUUAUUAUUUAAAGGGAGUCCUCUAUAACAUUGAAGGAUAUAUACAGAGGAGCUAAGCUGAGAUCAGAGGGGAGCAUUCAAAAGAAAGAAGAGAUCGAUCUAUGGCGGUGAAGAUGUCUUCCUCAACCAUGAAGAAUUCUACUCUAGUCAUGCUUGGCUAAACGCUUUGCUAGGGUUGUGAUGUAUCUCUAGCUUAGCACACUGGUUUGAUUGUAUUUAAUUAUUGGAGAAUAAAUAUUUUCAUGCAUGAUUGUGUAAUCUAUAGGGUUUUUAAUUGAAUUUUUAAUAAGAAUCGGUUUUAAAGUUUUAAUUCAAUUACAAAUAUUUUUCUA